rnacentral:ncRNA from 1 species
GUCGGCGUCGUCACGCUCGAAUCGGCUUCGGUGCCGGUCACCACGGAACUCACGGGCCGCACGAGCGCUUUUCUCGAUGCCCAGGUGCGCGCGCGCGUGGACGGCAUCGUGCUGCGCCGUGAAUUCACCGAAGGCAGCCUCGUCAAGGCGGGGCAGCGGCUCUACAAGAUCGA